UACGUAGGCAGCAAGCGUUGUUCGGAGUUACUGGGCGUAAAGGGUGCGUAGGCGGCUUUUUAAGUUUGGUGUGAAAUCUCCCGGCUCAACCGGGAGGGUGCGCCGAAUACUGAGAGGCUAGAGUGUGGGAGAGGAAAGUGGAAUUCCUGGUGUAGCGGUGAAAUGCGUAGAUAUCAGGAGGAACACCGGUGGUGUAAACGGCUUUCCGGACCAUAACUGACGCUGAGGCACGAAAGCGUGGGUAGCAAACAGG
rnacentral:rRNA from 1 species